rnacentral:rRNA from 1 species
UAAUACGUAGGGGGCAAGCGUUGUCCGGAUUUAUUGGGCGUAAAGAGCGUGUAGGCGGCCAGGUAGGUCGGCUGUGAAAACUCGAGGCUCAACCUCGAGCUGUCGGCCGAAACCAUCUGGCUAGAGUCCGGAAGAGGAGAAUGGAAUUCCCGGUGUAGCGGUGAAAUGCGCAGAUAUCGGGAAGAACACCCGUGGCGAAGGCGGUUCUCUGGGACGGUA